rnacentral:rRNA from 1 species
UAGGGAAUCUUCCACAAUGGGCGAAAGCCUGACGGAGCAAUGCCGCGUGGAGGUGGAAGGCCUACGGGUCGUCAACUUCUUUUCUCGGAGAAGAAACAAUGACGGUAUCUGAGGAAUAAGCAUCGGCUAACUCUGUGCCAG